CAAGCCUGAUGUCAGACAGACGCCGCCGUGAGGGGAAGGACAGUCCUUUCGAGUUGUAAAGCAUUGUUUUAUGUAGGGAAGAAUCGUAAAGUGACGGUAGCUGCAGAAAAAAGCACCCGCUAACUACGUGCCAGCAGCCGCGGUAAUAAGUAGGGUGCAAGCGUUGUCCAGUAGUAAUGGGCGUAAAGUAGAUCGUAGGCGGCUUGUCGAGUCUGUUGUGAAAAGCACGAGGCUCAACUUCCGGCGUACAGUGGGUACAGGCAGGUCUAGAGUGCGGUAGGGGAGAUUGGAAUUCCUGGUGUAGCGGUGGAAUGAGCAGAUAUCAGGAGGAACACUGAUGGCGAAGGCAGAUCUCUGGGCCGUAACUGACGCUGAGGAGCGAAAGCAUGGGGAGCGAACAGGAUUAGAUACCCUGGUAGUCCAUGACGUAAACGUUGGGAACUAGAUGUAGGGCCUGUUCCACGGGUUCUGUGUCGUAGCUAACGCAUUAAGUUCCCCGCCUGGGGAGUACGGCCGCAAGGCUAAAACUCAAAGGAAUUGACGGGGGCCCGCACCAGCGGCGGAGCCUGCGGAUUAAUUUGAUGCAACGCGAAGAACCUUACCAAGGCUUGACAUAUCCGAGAACGCUGUAGAGAUACAGAACUCUUUGGACACUCUUAAACAGGUGGUGCAUGGUGGUCGUCAGCUCGUGUCGUGAGAUGUUCGGUUAAGUCCGGCAACGAGCGCAACCCUCGUCCUAUGUUGCCAGCACGUUAUGGUGGGAAAUCAUGGGAUACUGCCGUGGUCAACACGGAGGAAGGUGGGGAAGACGUCAAAUCAUCAUGCCCCUUAUGUCUUGGGCUUCACGCAUGCUACAAUGGCCGAUACA
rnacentral:rRNA from 1 species